rnacentral:lncRNA from 1 species
CUUCACAGGUCAGAGAGUCUAGUGGCAACGGACACCAUUGAGCUGGAAUUUCUAAAUGCAGUGGGCCUGAUGGGAGCCCGAGUGGCGGGGAUCCAAGUAGCAUUGGUAUGCAGGAGAUGAGGUGAGCAUGGUUACCGUGGGGAGGCCCAGUCAGCCGUGGUGAGAGUCUGACUCUCAGAGGUCUGGGCAUUUGCUACUUUCUCACGGUAUCCAUAGAAAUGAAAGAGGUGUGAGCCUGCUCAAGUCCUGCUUGAUCCGACGGGUGAGUUCUGGAUCCAGAGGACAGAGGUAUGACCUGAACGACCGAGGCAGGGUGUCCUAGCCCCUCUGUCACUUCCCAUACUUGAGUCCUUGAAGGAAGGAGAGGCAGAGUCUCCAUGAGGAAGGAUGUUUUACCGCCAAACUUUAUGCUGUUAAUCUUCCUCUUAAACUUCUCCAGAUACAAGUGACCAUUUGCAAAGUGACUAUGCUUUGGGGGAAAGGGAAAUAAUCACUUUCCGGAGAUUACUGGACACUGGGUUUAAACUGACCUUCUUUCCUAGAGACCCAAAAUGUCACUGCCGUUCUCCGGCAGGGACUUUGGCGGUCAGUGGACGAUGGAGUUGUAGGAAGUUUUGUCUCACCGAGGGACUGACAGCUCCCUGAAUGCAUCCGACAGCUAUUUCCUCAACUCUGCGAUGAAUCCUUGGAAUAGACAUCUUGAGCAACUGGAGGAAUUCCAACUUGGUUCCCCGACUCAGAGACUGGGGAAGAGUAUGGUAGGAAAAGCCAAGUGGAAGCCACCAGAACUCUCUCUACCCCUGAAAAUAAUCACGAAAAGCAAUGCCACAUUCCCAACAGGAGGGCAGAGAUUGGGGCCACCAUGACAGACUUGGCAGGUGCAGGGGUGUGGCAAGUCCCCUUACUUCCCCAUUCAACUCACCUUUUGGGCACAUAAAGAAAUCUGAUGAAUCUUGAAGAGUGAUGUUGGACCAUUGUAAACUUAAUUGGAGGGUGACUCCACUUUCUCCUGCUAUUCCGAGUGGGUUGUGAGCGCUGCAGUAAUCAACGCAUCUCCCAGCACCUGCAUCAAGUUAUUGAUCUGGAAAAUUCUUUUCUACUUAUACUUAUUAGACCAUUCGAAGUCACUUGUUUUCAGCCAGCAAAACCAGCAACACGCUUUCGCGGUCCCACCUCAGGGUGGCAUCAGUGCUCUAGCCCUAUGUCAUAGCAGCAUCUGGAUUGACCUUCUUUCCCAUGGGACGUCACGCUGGUCUGUUAGAUUGAUGAUACUGUCAUGAUUGGAGCUGAUGAACAAGACGUAGGAACUACAGCAGCCACAAUGGUAAGAUCCUUCCACACUGGAGGGGAGAAAUAAAUCGCACAGAAUUUUAGGGGCCUGUAACUUCAGCAAAAGUUCUUGGGGUCCAGUGAUCUGAGGCAGGUGGAGAGCCCUCCCUAAGUGAAGGAAAUGUUGCUGAUGCUAAGAGAGAGGCCCAGUGUCUGUGGGGCCCUUUGGAUUCUGCAGGCAACAUACAGCUACUCUGGGAGCCCUGCUGGGACUCAUUUACCAAGUGACCCCAAAGGCAGUCAGUUUGGGAUGGGACCUGGAACAAGAGAAAGCCCCAUGUCAGCUGGGGACCGAGACAAUAGAGCUUGUACUGUGGCGGAUGGGGAGGCUGUUUGCAUACCCUGGAAGGCCUUGCAGGUCAACCCCACUGUGGACCUCUAGAACAUGGGGGGCCCCGUACCCUUCUUUGAAAAUACUCUGCUGUUGAGAAAGAGCAUUUGGCUUUCUCCUGGGCCUUAGCAGAGACCGAAGCUGGACUCUGGGCAACCAAGAUACCAUGUGGCCUGAGCUACCCAUCAUGCCCUGGUGUUGUCUCACCCAACAGCCACGAACUGGGUGAGCAGCAAGUACGCCAGCACUCUAAGGUCAAAUGGAGCCGGUGUCGCCUAGACUGGGAGCAGGUGGGUCCUGAAGGUAAGUUGCAGGAGAAGUGGUUCAUGCUCAUUCCUUUCAAUGGCCUCUGUCUCAAAUGACACUCUCUAAAAUGACACGCUCUCAGCAGUUCCCUAGGACCAGCUGUCACAGGAAGAAAACCUUAGGAUGGUUCCCACAGAGUCCUGUGUGAUCCGCAGGCAUCACACACGGGUGGGCAGCUGCAGCCUGAUGGCUUUGUCCCAGGACACCCCCGAAGGAAGGAGUGUUUCCUGAUCAGCCGUGCAUCUGGUGGCACUAUGACUUGGAGGAAAGAUGUCCACAAGUGUGGGUCUGCAUCCGUCAUGCGCUGGCCGGGUGUUCAGGUGCCCGAAGGAACUGACUGACAACUGGUCACUAGCGAGCCUGGGACAGGGGAAUGCAGACGGCCUGCCCCACGGGAAGAGGAUAUUUGCGUCCUGUGAAUGCACACCAGAGAGCCACUUCAGGAAAUAAGAUCUUCAUGGUCAGGUGGACGGGAUGACCCAUCCCCUGGGUCUCCUUCAGCCUCUUUCCCCAGCCAUGGUCCUCGCCCAGUGGGAUCACGAGCGUCAUAGCGUGGUGACCACGAAGAGGAUCCUGUGUGGGUCACAGUAAGGACCGAAGCUGAUCUGACUGCCCUGACUGCUGGAUGCCCAGACUUCCAACAGAAGUGACCCGAACUGAGUCCUGAUACGGCUCAUUGCUCAGGACCAUCCCCAAGUGUCCUGAUGGCAGGUCAGUUGCAUUGAACAGCUUCUAUCAUGGAAAGGACAAAACCUUUAUUUUAUCUUAUUUUUAUCAGCUUUAUUGUAAUGUAAUUCACACACCAUACAAUUCACAUUUAAAGUCAAUGCCUUUAACGAUGUGUGCAAUGAUCAUCAUAAUCAAUUUUAAAACAUUUCCAUCAUCCCCAUGCCCUAUAAUUACCCAUCUCCCUGUUCCCUCAUUUCCCUCUAAGCAUAAGCAGUCAUUAAUCUCCUCCCUGUGUCUAGAUUUGCCUAUUCUGGACAUUUCAUAUAAUCUUUGACCUUUUGUGAUUGGCUCCUUUCACUGGGCAUAAUGUUUUCAAGGUCCCUCUGUGAGGUUGAAUGUAUUGGUAGUAUAUUCCUUUUUGUGUGUGUGUGUGUGGUACUGGGGAUUGAACCCAGGUCCCUGUGCAGGCCAGGCAAGCACUCUACCAACUGAGCUAUAUCCCCAGCCCCACAUUCCUUUUUAUAGUUUAAUAAUAUUCCACUGUAAGGUUUUAGUGUAUUUCAUUUAUGCAUUCAUCAGUUGAUGGAUAUUUGGGGAUGGAUAUUUUGCCUCUUGGUUAUUACGAACAAUAAUGCAAUACACAUUCAUGCACAAGUUUUUGUAUGAACAUGUUUUUUCAUUUCUCUUAGGAAAUAGAAUUAUUAGGUCAACUCUCUUUUUAGCAGUGUGAGAAACUGCUAGACUGAUUUCCAAAUUGGCUGCACCAUUUUACACACCAGCGAUGGAUGUGCACGAGGGCUCCAAUUUCUCCACACCCUCACCAAGGCUUGUCAUUAUCUGACUUUUUAUUCCAGUCCUCCUUGUGGGUGAGAAGAGGUCUCUCAUUGUGGUUUGGGAUUGCAUUUCUCUAAAGACAAACACUGUUGAGCAUCUUUUCAUAUGUUGAUUCACCAUAGGUAUAUUUUCUUUGGAAAAAUGUCUACUCAGAAUCUUUCCCCAUUUUUUAAAAAUCACAUUGUCUUUUUAUUAUUGAGUUGUAAGAAUUCUUUAUAUAUUCAGGACACAAGACCC